CCUUGGUUUAGGGCAACCUGCAAGGAGCGUCCAGCUUAAGGUGGAUGUCUUUACCUGGAGGUUCCAAGCGCCCAGCAAACAAACAACUCCGGAGUCACUUCACCUUGUGAAAGAUUACAAAAGAAAAGGAUGCAAAUGAAAAACUAACAACUUGAUGUGCCGUCCAUUGUUAUGAAAAAGGAUGAGAGAGGCAAUGAGGCUCUACGCCCAAUUGGGAUAAUAGUAGAGCCACUAACAACAACAACAAAAAAAUAGUAUCAGAUACUUAAAGACGUACUCAUACAUGUAUGCAAAGGAAUAAAGUAUGUUUAUUACAAUCUUGUUUGUAGUAGCAAAAGACUGGGAAAAACUUAAAUGUCCUUCUGUAAGGACAGAAGAAAUAAAUUAAGGCAUAGUCAUACAAUGGAAUAUUAUUCAAUCACAAGAAAAAAUAAAAUAGAACUUUAAAAUAUGAAAUGGUUUCCAAAAUAACUGUCAAGUAUAAAAGCAAGAUAUUUAUACUCUCUGGAAAAGUAACAUUUUAAUUUGCUCACCUGUGCUACUUAUGAUAUAUGUACCCAGGGUACCAAAAAAGAGAAAAAAAGUAGAAUUAAAAGAUGAGAAAUUGAUGUUGCCCCUUAACAAAGACUUCCAAAAUGGCCUUCACAAGGCAUCAGCAAGACAUAGCCAUAGACUUUGAAAAUAGCAGUGACAGCUGGUAACCAGAAGCUGUACUAUAUAAGAGUCAAGUUUACCAAAAACUUCAAGAUAAAAAUUAUUCUCCUAGGCAGUAUUUGUCUGUAGAAUCAUUCCCAGGAGUAAUAUCUUUGAAUCCAAAAGAGGGGAGUUAUCUAAAUCAUAAAGUUGUGUAAUGGUGCAUGUAAAUUGGAUAAUGCAAAAGAAAUGUAUUAAUUAAGAAAAUUAAACAU
rnacentral:lncRNA from 10 species